UGGGGAAUUUUCCGCAAUGGGCGAAAGCCUGACGGAGCAACGCCGCGUGGAUGAUGAAGCCUUUCGGGGCGUAAAAUCCUUUCAGCAGGGACGAACAAAAUGACGGUACCUGCAGAAGAAGCAUCGGCUAACUACGUGCCAGCAGCCGCGGUAAUACGUAGGAUGCGAGCGUUGUCCGGAAUUAUUGGGCGUAAAGAGAACGUAGGUGGUUUCUUAAGUUUGGGCUUAAAGACUGGGGCUUAACCCCAGGACUGGCUCGAAAACUGGGAGACUAGAGGAUGUCAGAGGAAAGUGGAAUUCCGAGUGUAGCGGUGAAAUGCGUAGAUAUUCGGAGGAACACCAGUGGCGAAAGCGACUUUCUGGGACAUUCCUGACACUGAGGUUCGAAAGCUCGGGGAGCAAACAG
rnacentral:rRNA from 1 species